UACGUAGGUGGCAAGCGUUGUCCGGAAUUACUGGGUGUAAAGGGAGCGUAGGCGGGAGCUUAAGUUGGAUGUGAAAUACCGCAGCUUAACUGCGGGGCUGCAUCCAAAACUGAGUUUCUUGAGUGAAGUAGAGGCAGGCGGAAUUCCUAGUGUAGCGGUGAAAUGCGUAGAUAUUAGGAGGAACACCAGUGGCGAAGGCGGCCUGCUGGGCUUUUACUGACGCUGAGGCUCGAAAGCGUGGGGAGCAAACAGG
rnacentral:rRNA from 1 species